rnacentral:rRNA from 1 species
GAUGAACGCUGACGGCAUGCUUAACACAUGCAAGUCGAUGGGGAAGUGGUGCUUGCACCGUGGCAACCAUGGCGGACGGGUGAGUAACGCGUAAGGGACUUACCUGCAGGACUGGGAGAACAGGGGGAAACUCCGGACAAGACCGGGUAAUGUCAUGGAGCUUCAUGGGUGUGGGAUGAAAGGGGACGACGGCGGAGAGCCUUGCGUCCUAUUAUCUAGUUGGUGGGGGAAUGGCGCACCAAGGCGAAGAGAGGGAGCCGGCAGGAGAGGGUGGACGGCCACAAGGGGACUGAGACACGCCAGUUACCACUACGGGAGGCAGGAGGGGGGAAUAUUGGACAAGGGGGGCAACCCUGAUACAGCAAUUCUGUGUGGAAGAAGAAGGUUUUCGGAUUGUACAGUGCUUUCAGCAGGGAAGAAGUAAGUGACGGUACCUGCAGAAGAAGCGACGGCUAAAUACGUG